AUGGCUGGUCGUCCUCCCGGGGGGAGCCAGCCCCGCUUCAUGCCCUCCCCCGACCCGAGCCAGGGGCGUGUGGCCUGGCUUCCAAUGCCCAGCAUCCUCUCACUGAAGCAGGCCCCCAGCUCCGUGCGGCCCCCUGGACUCCGGGGCCAGCAGGGCCGUGGCCCUCAGCGCACUGAGGCUCUGACUGUCUCUCCUCUGUUCUCCCUCCCAGGCUGCCUGUUUGAGGAUGGCCUCUGCAGACCCGCUGAGACCUGUGUGAACGACGGAGUGUUCGGACGGUGUCAGGAGUUUCCGGCCACGGACGCGCUCCGCUAUGAAGUGUCACCGGGGGUUCUGCAGCACCUGACGGCCACCCUGCAGAGGCUCUCCCGCACAGGUCUCACGUGGCAGGAUGACUACACCCAGCGCGUGAUGGCCCGGGAACUCGCCAGCCUGCCCCAGACGCACCCGCGCCACCCCGAGGUGUCCAGCCCCGCCAGGAGCUCGAAGCAGAGCGUCCCGGACGAGCGGAGCCUCAGCCUGGAGGGCGGCAUGCUGGCCGAGGCCCUGCAGCGCUACCUGCCCUACCUGGAGGCCCUGUCCCAGGCUGCCACCGCCGACGCGCUCCCGGGGCCGGAGCUGGACAGGCCACCUGCCCAGGGUGAGGACCCCCUGGCCGACAGCAUGCUAACCUUCGUGGCCCAGACGUCCGCUCUGACCUACGCUCCCGCGGCGCGCGCCGACCUCGCAGGGGGCCGCCCCCUGCGCACGCUCCGCCGGCUCCAGCCAGACGAGCUCAGCCCCAAAGUGGCCGGCGGGGUGGACAGGCAGCGUCUGGUGGCUGCACUGGGCGCCUACGCGGCCCGGAAGGCCCCUGCGCCCUCCAGGGACGGCGACCCCGCGCCCCGCGGCCUUGUGCGUGCGCCUUGGAGAGCGCCCCGGGUCCUGUCGGCGGCGCCGGCGGCCCCCCAGAGAUGGCCUUCGCCUGCGGACCCCAGAGACGCCCCGGUCACAGACGAUGAAGCUCGUGUUCAGACACUGCUGAAGGACCUGCGGAAGCGCCCGGCCGGUGUGGAGGGUCUGAGUGCCCUGGACGUGGACGAGGUGGCCCGUGCCCUUGCGAGUGCAAUGCCAAGUGGGGGCGUGGCCGGGGUGCCGGGCACGGCCGGGAGGAGCGGUGGACGCGGAGCGGAGGCGAACAGUGCGGGGGCCGCCCUGCACAGAGACCGCGUGCCAGAGAGGAGACUGCAAGACAGCGACGGGGGACUCUACCAGGAGGUGAACCGUCUGGGCGUCCAACUGGGGGACUUCCUGCAGGGCCCUCGGUCUCCAUUCCUGCCUGCAGCCCCCCGUCUCACCGAGCCCUUCAAGACGGAGAGCAAGAAAGGGGAUGACGCAGAGGCUUCGCUGUCUUCGGAGGAGGAGCGUGCGGGCGUGGAGAACGUGCGGAGCCAGACCUACUCCAAGGAGCUGCUGCAGAGGCCGCUGCAGGAGAGGCCCGGGCUGGGCACGGCCCCCCAGGAGGACCUGCACCUCGGGGCUGGCGCACAGGAACCCCCCGGCCCAGACCUGCGGCUGCAAGUCCAGGCCCCCGAGGAGGAGUAUGGCUACAUCGUGAUGGAAAAUGACUCCCUGAGCCUGGACGAGGGCACGCAGGCGCUGGAGGGCGUGGCGCGGCUCCUGGAGGUGCCGGCGGGUGUCUUCACGGACGUUGAGGUCGAGGGGCCAGCGGUGACCUUCAGGGUGCGCGCCAACGCCCAGAACGUGACCGCGGCGGCCGCGGCGAAGGCGGCAGCCGACAACAAGGAGAAACUGCAGACCAUGUCUGGGCUGAGAGUUCUUCAGGCCGGAGUCGGCUCGAGACGCAGAAUCAAGCUUCUGCCUCACCAGGCCGCACGGGAGGACUCCGCCAAGUUCGUGGUGCUCACCCUGGUCUCCCUCGCGGCCAUCGUGGGGGUCUUGCUGGCGUCCGGUGUCAUCUACUGCCUUCGACACCGCUCUCACUACAGGCUGAAGGAGAAGCUCUCCGGGCCGGUGGGCGACCCGGGCCCAGACGCCACCAACGCCUAUCAGGAGCUGUGCCGUCAGCGCAUGGCGGUGCGCACGACCGAGCGCCCCGAGGCCACACACACGUCCCGCGUCAGCAGUGUGUCCUCCCAGUUCAGCGACGGGCCCAUGCCCAGCCCCUCCGCGCGGAGCAGCACCUCGUCCUGGUCAGAGGAGCCCGUGCAGCCCAACAUGGACAUCUCCACUGGCCACAUGGUCCUGGCCUACAUGGAGGACCACCUGAAGAACAAGAACCGCCUGGAGAAGGAGUGGGAGGCGCUGUGUGCCUACCAGGCCGAGCCCAACAGCUCGCUCGUGGCCCAGAGGGAGGAGAACCUGCCGAAGAACCGCUGCCCCGCGGUGCUCACCUAUGACCACUCCCGGGUCCGGCUGAAAUCAGAGAACAGCCACAGCAGCUCCGACUACAUCAACGCCAGCCCCAUCAUGGACCACGACCCCAGGAAGCCCGCGUACAUCGCCACCCAAGGACCCCUGCCCUCGACUGUGGCUGACUUCUGGCAGAUGGUGUGGGAGAGCGGCUGCGUGGUCGUCGUCAUGCUGACCCCCCUCUCGGAGAGCGGCGUCCGGCAGUGCUGCCACUACUGGCCCGACGAGGGCUCCAGCCUCUACCACAUCUACGAGGUGCAUCUGGUCUCUGAGCACAUCUGGUGCGAGGAUUUCCUCGUGAGGAGCUUCUACCUGAAGAACCUGCAGACCAACGAGACCCGCACGGUGACUCAGUUCCACUUCCUGAGCUGGUAUGACCAGGGGGUGCCUUCCUCCACCAGGUCCCUCCUGGAUUUCCGCAGAAAAGUAAACAAGUGCUACAGGGGCCGUUCUUGUCCAAUAAUUGUCCACUGCAGUGAUGGCGCCGGCAGGAGUGGCACCUACGUCCUGAUCGACAUGGUUCUCAAUAAGAUGGCCAAAGGUGCCAAGGAGAUCGACAUUGCCGCCACCCUGGAGCAUCUUCGGGACCAGCGACCAGGCAUGGUCCAGACUAAGGAGCAGUUCGAGUUCGCCCUGACGGCCGUGGCCGAGGAGGUGAACGCCAUCCUCAAAGCCUUUCCCCAGUGAGGCCGGAGGCGCCCACGACCGGGGCCCCGUCAGCGCCCACGGACGCCGUGCCCGCCUCUCCUGCGGCAGCUGCCUAGUGAUCUAGUCCUUAAGACUCUACAGUCAGUGCAGCUUAGCAGUUAAAACGUGUGUUUUUGUUCAGCCAAAUAAUAAAGGGAGGUCUACGGGCA
rnacentral:lncRNA from 1 species